rnacentral:rRNA from 1 species
AUUGAACGCUGGCGGCAUGCUUUACACAUGCCAGUCGAACGGUAACAGGCCUUCGGGUGCUGACGAGUGGCGAACGGGUGAGUAAUGCAUCGGAACGUACCCAGAGGUGGGGGAUAACGCAGCGAAAGCUGUGCUAAUACCGCAUGUGAUCUGAGGAUGAAAGCGGGGGACCGAGCAGCAAUGUUUGGCCUCGCGCCUUUGGAGCGGCCGAUGUCGGAUUAGCUAGUUGGUGGGGUAAAGGCCUACCAAGGCGACGAUCCGUAGCUGGUCUGAGAGGACGACCAGCCACACUGGGACUGAGACACGGCCCAGACUCCUACGGGAGGCAGCAGUGGGGAAUUUUGGACAAUGGGCGCAAGCCUGGUCCAGCAAUGCCGCGUGCGGGAAGAAGGCCUUCGGGUUGUAAACCGCUUUUGGCAGGAACGAAACGGUGUCCGCUAAUACCGGGCGCUAAUGACGGUACCUGCAGAAUAAGCACCGGCUAACUACGUG